CGCACCUGCACUCCUCCGCCGCACUCCUGGCUGCAGACGGACCAGCGGCCCCAGACCCCCCAGCCCUCUGCGGGACGCAGACGAGGAACAUGGAGGUUAAUGUGUGCAAACGAAAAACUCUGCAAACAUUUAGCAGGACGACAUCCCUCUGCAAACGCCCGGAAGCAGAACGGAGCUCUCCCGGGACGCCAGUCCAAACAGAGGAAAGCCUCCACAUCCAGCUGACUCACAACAUCAGCAACUGCUGAAGCUGAAGUGGGAUUUGUUUGUCGUCUAUCUGAAGCCAUGACCUCCUCUGACCUCUAGAUGGGGCUGUUUUUGAUACUGAUGGCUGUGGAAGAGCAGCAGAGAAUGUUCUUCAAAACCAAACAGGCUUUACUGAAUCAUCAGGGACGCAAAGCAGAUUCUAAAGCAAUAAAACAUCCGUUUGUAGAAAAGCUUAUUUUGAUUUGU